GAGUGAACGCUGGCGGUAGGCCUACCACAUGCAAGUCGAACGGCAGCACAGUAAGAGCUUGCUCUUACGGGUGGCGAGUGGCGGACGGGUGAGGAAUACAUCGGAAUCUACUUUUUCGUGGGGGAUAACGUAGGGAAACUUACGCUAAUACCGCAUACGACCUACGGUUGAAGGAAGGGGUUCUUCGACCUUUGGCGGAUGGAAGAACCCGAUGUCGGAUUAGCUAGUUGGCGGGGUAAAGGCCCACCAAGGCGACGAUCCGUAGCUGGUCUGAGAGGAUGAUCAGCCACACUGGAACUGAGACACGGUCCAGACUCCUACGGGAGGCAGCAGUGGGGAAUAUUGGACAAUGGGCGCAAGCCUGAUCCAGCCAUACCGCGUGGGUGAAGAAGGCCUUCGGGUUGUAAAGCCCUUUUGUUGGGAAAGAAAAGCAGCAGGUUAAUACCCCGCUGUUCUGACGGUACCCAAAGAAUAAGCACCGGCUAACUUCGUG
rnacentral:rRNA from 1 species